AGAAUGAGUUUUCUUGGUCCUCAAAUGAUGGUUGAGGGAACUCUUGCAGUUCGUUAAGCUUGAUAGUUUCAAAGUUCGAAGAUGAGAAAUAACUGUCAGGGUUAUCUGUACACCCUUUAACAUUCAUUGUAUUUUGAGGUCCACUGUCAUUCUGAACAUUUAUCUCAAAAUCUAUAUUUCCAGCCUUUGUAGUUGCAUCAUUGGUUGGCCUUGAUUGGAUGUCUGAGCAAAACCUUUGGUUUCAUCUAGAGGAAUUGCAGGUGUGUGUCCUUGGAAAAGGGAAAUGUGCCCGAAAAGCUUGUCUUUCCUGGAAAAGGUUGUUCCACAAGAACAAAGCCAUUUAUCUUUACCACAAUGUUUCUCAUGUGUUCUAAGAUCUGCAAUAACUGAAAAUUUCUUCAAAUUGCACCUACUACAAGCAUAUCUUUUCUCACAGUGAGUUCUUCUGUAAUGGUUUUUCACACAUAAGA
rnacentral:misc_RNA from 1 species